rnacentral:tRNA from 1 species
GGGGGCAUAGCUCAGUGGUAGAGCGCGUGCUUAGCAUGCACGAGGUCCCGGGUUCGAUCCCCAGUGCCUCCA